rnacentral:rRNA from 1 species
UACGUAGGAUGCGAGCGUUAUCCGGAUUUACUGGGCGUAAAGCGUGCGCGGGUGGUUCUGCUAGUCGGGCGUGAAAGCCCUCGGCUCAACCGGGGGAGGUCGUUCGAUACUGCAGGGCUUGAGGUCAGGAGAGGGGAGCGGAAUUCCCGGUGUAGCGGUGGAAUGCGUAGAUAUCGGGAGGAACACCAGUGGCGAAAGCGGCUCCCUGGCCUGCACCUGACGCUGAGGCACGAAAGCGUGGGGAGCGAUCGGG